AAAGUGCUGGGAUUACAGUAGUGAGCCACCAUGUCUGGUCGACGAAUUUUUUUAUUUUUAUUUUUAUUUUUUUGUAGGAACGAGGUCUCACUAUGUUGCCCAGGCUGGUCUCAAACUCAAACCUGUAAUCCCAGCACUUUGAGAGGCCGAGGUGGAUGGAUCACUUAAGGUCAGGAGUACAAGACCAGCCUGGCCAUGGUGGUGAGACCCUGUCUCUACUAAAAUUACAAAAAUUAGCCGGGUAUGGUGGCACACUCCUGUACUCUCACCUACUCGGGAGGCUGAGGCAGGAGAAUUGCUUGAACCCAGGAGGCAGAGGUUGCGGUGAGCCGAGAUUGUGCCACUGCACUCCAGCCUGGGCAACAAGAAUGAAACUGUGUCUCAAAAAAAAAAAAAAAAUCUAUGAAGCCCAGUAAUAAGCCCUUGAUAAGCCCUUGAUUUGUCAUUCAGAUUGUAUUUUCUUUGGAUCAUCUUUUGCCGUUUUAAAAACUUGGGUGAAAUCUGUUCAUUUCCUUUGUGAUUUCUGACAUCACUAUUCUGCCUGGAAAUCCUUUUACCCUAGUAAUAGGCAUAUGCACCUGUAUUUCAUAUCAGCACGACAUUUAAACCACCAGCUCAUGACCUCAGGGGGUCACCUUGUUGGUUUAUCCAGCAGGAGUAAAGCCUACCUCGGAAAUCUGAGGGUGGCCGCGAACCCAAAAGUCCAGAUUCGCAGGUGCGCGCGCUAAGGACUGAGCUAUUGGGGCGAUGGAAAGAGUCUCUCUCUGCGGCAAGGGCGGAAGGACAUGUUAAAAAAAAAAAAAAAAAAAUUAAAGCGCGGUUCGUUGGUCUAGGGGUAUGAUUCUCGCUUUGGGUGCGAGAGGUCCCUGGUUCAAAUCCCAGACGAGCCCUUUUUCCUUCUCUUUUUUCCCCUUUCGCAUUUUCAGCAAGGACGGGAGACUAGGAAGGCGAAGGGAGGCUGCUGUUGGCAGAGCCUCAGUGGGGACCUCCCGGGGUCCCGGGACGCAGACGGACGGGCCUGAAUCUCUCUCCUUGCAGUCGGUCCGUCACCCUGAAAUGGGAUCCAGCGCUGCCAACUGCGGGUUCGAGAGUAUGGCGGCUCCAGUCCCAGGUGAGCCCUACCAAGGUUUAAAAUUGCAUGGUAUUGCGGGGAGUAAUAUGUGUGGCGGGGGACAGUGGGAGGGGAGUGAGGGAGAGACGGAGGGGCGAAGGCCCGGGCAUCCUCCGGCAGCACUUUAG
rnacentral:tRNA from 1 species